rnacentral:rRNA from 1 species
CACCAGACUCCUACGGGAGGCAGCAGUGAGGAAUAUUGGUCAAUGGCCGAAGGGCUGAACCAGCCAAGCCGCGUGAAGGAAUAAGGCCCUACGGGUCGUAAACUUCUUUAGUCAGGGAACAAAGGGAGCCACGCGUGGCGCUGUGAGUGUACCUGAAGAAUAAGCAUCGGCUAACUCCGUGCCAGCAGCCGCGGUAAUACGGGGGAUGCAAGCGUUAUCCGGAUUUAUUGGGUUUAAAGGGUGCGUAGGCUGUGAGGUAAGUCAGCGGUGAAAUGCCCCCGCUCAACGGGGUGAAGUGCCAUUGAUACUGCCUUGCUGGAAUGCGGAUGCCGUGGGAGGAAUGUGUGGUGUAGCGGUGAAAUGCAUAGAUAUCACACAGAACACCGAUUGCGAAGGCAUCUCACGAAUCCGCGAUUGACGCUGAUGCACGAAAGCGUGGGUAUCAAACAGGAUUAGAUACCCGUGUACU